rnacentral:lncRNA from 1 species
GGAAAUUGUCUCGGAUCUCCCCAAAGUGCGAGCCUCGAAGAGACUGGUGUUAGGGAAGAGUCCCCACAUCAGGUGGUGCAUGCUUACUGUGUAAUUAACUAGUUGGAGGUGGAAUCGCGUGGUUACCGUCUCCAAGUGCGUCUACCACUCAACUUGCAACGGCUAGAGAAAUUCGCGGCCCACGGAGGAUGGGCCCAUGCCUCCAGGAAGCCUCCAGGAAAAGGGUCUGUGGUGAGGCUCUCUGGGUGUUGACAGGAAAUCUUUCACCUUCUUCAGUCUCAUGGCCCAAUUCUCUGAGCUUCUGGGAGCAGAAACAGCACCAAUCAGCCUGCUCACAGGAGAGACCCUAAUCAUGUUUGCCACGGUGAGAUCUGCAAGACAGCACGGCUUAGGAGACCACGCUGACAUCACAAAUCCUUCCGACCUUGUCC